CAGUCUGAUAAUGUUAUUCAUCCAAGGCUUAUCAUUUGGACGUAUGGUUAUAACUUUUGAAGGAAUGAAAGUAUUGACUUGCUCAGUUAUUGAAUCAAGUAUAAAGGAGUUGAAUGUGUUAGAGUCUUGAUUUGAUGAAAUGUUCAACCAAUCAAUAUUGAGGAGAGCAUUAUUUAUACUGUCAAAGUCAGCCUCAUCAUAUUUUAAUAGUGGUUUUUUAUAGCUUGCUUGUUUGAAUAAAGUAAAAGAAAUUUGAGCAUGGACUGGAGAGUGGUCACUGCAGAAUGGUGGACUUACAUGAGUGUUUUUAAUUAGGUUCAGAUUAUUAGUAAAGAUUACAUCAAUGGAUGUGGCACUAUCAGGCGUUAUUCUUGUAGGUUCACUAAUAAGGCUAGAUAAGUUAUGUUUAAUAAGUAGUCUUGACAAGUGAUCGUUUAAUGGAAUAUUCAACAUGUCUAUAUUAAUAUCACCUGUUAGUAUAACAUCCAAUGAAGUAUCAGUAGCUCUAGUUAAUGAGUCAUCUAAUUUGACCCAGUAAUCAACAUUAUUAUCAGGUCUAUAGAUACAACCAAGAAGAAAUUUAUGAUUAUCUACACGAACCUUGAGCCAGAGUAAUUCAAUAUCAUCUCGCUCUAAUUCCAAUCUUCUGUUUAUAACGAUAUCAUCUUUAUGAUAAACUAUAAUUCCACCACCAGGACCUGUACUUCUAUCUUUCCUAAAAAGUUUAUUACUAAAGGUUUGUAAUCGAAUGUCGACAUCAGAUAUCUGUUGAUUUAGAUGAGAUUCAGUUAUACAUACAAUAUCAAUAUUUUCAAAUUCAGCUUCAAUAAUUGAUAUCUUAUUUCUGAGAGAACGCACAUUUAAGUGAACUAGGUUUAAGUUAUGUAGAGGUCCAGGAUUUCUUUCGAUAUCAUUACAACAGGAUAAAAAUAUAAAAAGUGAUACAAGGAAAUAUGAUAAAUUGUUAAAAUAUGAUAAUAGAAAUGUAAUUGGAUAGCCAUGACAAGAAUCCCUAGAAAAAUAAUUAGAUCUAGCAAAGUUAAUAAUCGACCGUAAUUAAAGCUGGUAACAUAAAAAUAUCUAAAAUAUUACCCAUUGUCAAAUGAGAAAGAAUUUGCUGGCAAGUAGGGUCGGUCGAUCAUCCAAGGCGGGUUUACGUUGUUAAAUGAGUCUUCAGGUAGGUGACAUGAGCAGCAGUUGAGUAUACAUAUAGGACAAAUACAGAACAUACAGGAAAUUACAAAUACAACUUUCACACACACACACAAAUCAUUCUUAACAUCAUAAACUUCGAAACACAUGUACAAACUUUGGGAAACGGAAGUGAUCAUGACUCAUCAAGGUGCAGUGGACGCUUGAAAGCAUAGGUCCUCGAAGUAUUUUACCAUGAAUUUUAAUACAAAAUAAUUAUAAAUACACACAAAUAAUUGUAGAUAAACAAAAAAUAAAUUGGUUGAGUAGGGUAAUUACAUAAUUAUAUAUGUUAAAUUGGUUUGAGUAUGCGUAUAAGAGAGAGAAAAGUAGUAGAAUCUUUAAUAAAAACGAGAUUGUUUAAACUAACACAACAGGCCCCUGUGAUAUGUUCGCCUUCCUUUAGCUAAACGGAGCGAUUAAGUUUAUAACGUUGUAAUACGGGAUAUUUCCACGACUCAAUAUCAAACAUUGAUUCAUUCGCAUUUACACAGAAAAUGCAUUCAAACACUUGCUUGAGAAAAGCGAGCAUGAUGUUUAACAUACAGCGUAGCAAAUAAAUACGUGACAUUGGAAGUAACUUCAAUAUAUAGACUAGACAGAAGGAUUGUCAAAAAGGGCUUAUUGUACACGAUAGAGUAAUUGGAUUUAAAUAUUCGUAUCCACGAAUUUCUGAAGACAGUAACAGACUUGGAGAAAAGGUGACCUCCAAGUUAACGCUGACCUCUUUAGGGUCAGGCGGCAGGGCAUUUAAGUGGGCUGACAGCGUGCUGGUACAGGCAUUACAGGCCGGUCACUGGCUACUUAUCGACAAUGUCAACUUCUGCAGUGCCUUCGUCCUAGAUAGACUGAAUGCCCUGUUGGAGCCCCACGGCGUCCUUAACAUCAACGAAAGAGGUGUAAUCGAUGGUGUCAUCCCAACCAUAACACCACAUCCUAACUUCAGGAGGAUGGGUCACUAUACAGCUCUCAUGAUGUCAAGGUCAUGUUACAAGGUCAAGGUCUCAGAUGAUGGAGCCUGUGAUUGGCUGAUGUCUCUACAUACUGACAUGAGAGAGAAUAUCUCACUUGGGGAACGGCCUGUCAUACUCGAUCUAAUCCGUGCUGCCAUGGUGAGGCAACAGCAGACAGAUAGAGGCAUUUUUAUUGGUCAAGGCAUUGAUACAUGCAUCGUGUGAUGGGUAUGUCAAGAAUAUCAGAAGUUUUGUGACGAGAAAGGUAGGUGUAUGUACACUGUGCUGAUUUCAUGUAUUGAUUUACUGAAGAAACCUUUGUAUAAAGCUAUUUACUUACUGCUAUAUCUAACAGACAAGUUCUCCAGCUCUGUCAAAAUUUAGACACUUUUGUGUCUUUCCUCCUUGUAGAGUUGUACAACCUUAGAGAACACCAAGAUGUACAGACAAUUUCUAUUAUGAAAUGUGAGUGAAGCAAAAACAUAUUAUCUUAUAAGUCCUUUACCAGUGAAACAAGGUAGGACUAUAGUUUUCCUCUCCGUCCGUCUUGUAUGAAGGUAGGUAAUGCCAAAGUUAGUCAGCACUCUAGAGGCUUCAUUCCUUGAGCGAUUUUGAUCAAACUUCACACAAUGAUAAAGGACCAUAAUAUUUUAUUAUAUAAUAUUUUGGACAAGAUUCUGUUUUAGGGUGACUGUUACUAUUUUUAGUGAGGGGGGUUAGGGGACAUGUAUUAAUGCUUUGGCAAUGCCCGGUAUGCUUGUUUAUCCACUCGUCCACUGAAAGGUGGAAAGGCCGUAAUAGUGGACAGUAAACUGGUUAAUGAUAAUAAUGAUAAAUUGUUUAUCUUGUUAUACCCUUAAUCAAUAGUCAUUAUAUAAAUGUAUUGAGUAAAAAUGCCAAAGUUUAACUGUUGUGGUCGCUGGUUCAAACAAACUGUUAAAAUUAACUGUUAAAAUUGACUGUUGACCGCUAACCUUUCCGGAAGUACCCGAAUGCGUCCGAGUGAUUACGAUUUCCUGUAAACAUUAGAGUUACUUUCCCUUGUCGUUUGCACAACCUGAAAUGGCUAUGAGUGGUGCAGACGGUUUAUGUAGGUUUGCCCUGGCAUCUAAACACGAAAUACAGCAAAUUUUGGAUGACCAUGACAGCAAAAAUACGAAAAAUGUGGUGAAAACAGCGGAAAACAUCUUGACUGACUUUCUGUUGACAUGCGAUCUCUCUCUUACGCUGAUCAAAGAUUAUUCAACUGAGGAUUUGAACGAUUUGCUGAGAAAGUUCUACUGUGCCGUUCGUACAUGUUAAAGGUCAAAAGUCACACUUUUUUACUUUAAAAAACAAAAUGAUUUUUUACAACAUAUCUCAUGAAUUUCUGGACAGAUUUAGUCCAUAUCCACACCAUAACAUCACAUCAUCAGGUUCUACACUUGAUAAGAUUUCAGUGAUUAUCAGUCCAGGUUUUCGUAGCUCAUGAUCACUUAUAAGAUAAAACAGAUGGUGUACAAGAUAUCUCAUAAACCCCUGGAAAGAUUUAUUAGUCUCCUGCCGGUGAAACCAGGGGGACUAGAGGUUUCCUCUCCAUCCGUCUGUCCGUCCGUCUGUAAGUCUGUGCAUUCAGUUUCUGAGCUUUUCUCAGCCUUGCUUCAAGGUAUGUUUGUGAAAGUUGGUAUACAACUUUGGUAUGAGUAGCGCCAGAUAAAGUUAGAGUUUCGGGGUUUAUUGGGAAUGAUAGGGGACAGGUGCUCUAGCUUGUUGAAGAUGGGGUUGGGGGUGUAUCUAUGUGAUCUCCUGCUCACUUUGUAUUUAUUUCAUUACAGGAUUUGCCCUGGGUAGACGGGACCACACUGAGCUUUGUGACAUAUAUGUACUGUUGCCCCAGAAGGAAGAACUGCUGAAAGCUAUUGCCUCCCUUCAGCUAACAAAUUACGUAGAUGUUAUCAAGAUGAGUACCACAUGAAGGUAAAACAGAUUCAAGAGACUCUGAAAAAACUUGGCUUGGAUAAAAAGACUGAGGAUGAUUUGACUACUGACAUUAUCCAAUCACAGCCAGAGAGUAUUGACAUAGCUACCAGGUCACCAUGGCAACAUGUGUGUUUGUGGCCUCUUUUUGAGUAUGUUUCCCUCUUUGCUGCGGCAGCAUCAGUCCCGCAUCUCUACUCUUGCAACAUUCCUGAUGGAUGCCAGAGCUAAACUGACUUCUGUUUGACCUUCACCCCAAUGUCUCCAGAACAGGUCACUCAGUACCAGAACCUCGGACAAACUGACA